CGGCGGACGGGUGAGUAACGCGUGGGCAACCUGCCCUGUACAGAGGGAUAACAACGGGAAACCGUUGCUAAUACCUCAUAAAACCCUAAAGGGGCAUCCCUUAUGGGUCAAAGAAUUUCGGUACAGGAUGGGCCCGCGUCUGAUUAGCUAGUUGGUGAGGUAAUGGCUCACCAAGGCGACGAUCAGUAGCCGACCUGAGAGGGUGAUCGGCCACACUGGAACUGAGACACGGUCCAGACUCCUACGGGAGGCAGCAGUGGGGAAUAUUGCACAAUGGGCGAAAGCCUGAUGCAGCAACGCCGCGUGAGCGAUGAAGGCCUUCGGGUCGUAAAGCUCUGUCCUAAGGGAAGAAAUUUGACGGUACCUUAGGAGGAAGCCCCGGCUAACUACGUGCCAGCAGCCGCGGUAAUACGUAGGGGGCAAGCGUUAUCCGGAAUCACUGGGCGUAAAGGGUGCGUAGGCGGUCUUACAAGUCAGGGGUGAAAGGCUACGGCUCAACCGUAGUAAGCCUUUGAAACUGUAGGACUUGAGUGCAGGAGAGGAAAGUGGAAUUCCUAGUGUAGCGGUGAAAUGCGUAGAUAUUAGGAGGAACACCAGUGGCGAAGGCGACUUUCUGGACUGUAACUGACGCUGAGGCACGAAAGUGUGGGGAGCAAACAGGAUUAGAUACCCUGGUAGUCCACACCGUAAACGAUGAGUGCUAGGUGUUGGGGGUCGAACCUCAGUGCCGCAGCUAACGCAUUAAGCACU
rnacentral:rRNA from 1 species